AGUGGGCCUAUGAGUAUGCAGUGAAAAUGACAGCAGUGGCAGAGGAGCCAUCAACACAUCAGACAGCAGACAGCUAAAGCGUUGACGCCAGCGCCAGACGAGAGCCAAGGUUCCUGCCCCCCAGUUAGCCCAAUUGAUUGGAUAAUCCCCGCAGAUAGCGAAACGUGGGAACAGCGCCGAAAUAGCUCAAAGUCCCUGCCAGACAGCAUGUCCUAGUGAAGCCCUCGACGGGAACGCAGAGAGCAGGACACCUGGAGCAGGAGCACGAUGGCCUCCGGCGAUGGCGACACCAUCAACACCAUCGACAUGGACAGCUCCUCGGCGUCGCAGGCCAAACUGGCGGAGCCCAGCAAUGCCUCCACCGACCAUGUGGGAAACUCAUCGCCCGACCUGGGCAACCGACCGAUGCGAGCGGCCAGCAAGGCGGACAAGGAGCGCAAGAUUGGCCACAGACGCGUCGGCGAGGGCGGCGAGAUCACAUACAAGAAGAUACAGACGUCGCAGAUCAUGGGCUCCAUUCAACUGGGAAUCCAGCACACUGUCGGCAGUCUAGCCUCGAAGCCCAAGCGUGAUCUACUUAUGAUGGACUUCUGGGAAAUCGAGAGCAUCACCUUUCCGCCAGAGGGUUCUAGCCUUACACCUGCCCACCACUACAGCGAGUUCAGAUACAAGAUAUACGCGCCCAUCGCUUUUCGCUACUUUCGGGAUCUGUUCGGCAUCCAGCCAGAUGAUUUUAUGAUGUCCAUGUGUACGUCCCCAUUGCGGGAACUGUCCAAUCCUGGUGCUUCCGGCUCUAUAUUCUACCUGACGACCGACGACGAGUUCAUUAUCAAGACGGUGCAACACAAAGAGGGCGAAUUCUUACAGAAACUACUGCCUGGUUACUACAUGAAUCUAAAUCAAAAUCCGCGCACGCUAUUGCCAAAGUUCUUCGGAUUGUACUGCCUGCAGACGAGCAACGCCAAAAACAUUCGCCUGGUGGUCAUGAACAAUCUGCUGCCCUCAUCCGUAAGAAUGCACCUGAAGUACGACUUGAAGGGCUCCACGUUCAAGCGCAAGGCCAACAAGGCGGAGCGCGCCAAGAAGUCGCCCACGUAUAAGGACCUCGACUUCAUGGAGCAGCAUCCGAACGGCAUUUUCCUGGAGGCCGAGACCUACUCCGCGCUGAUCAAGACCAUUCAGCGCGACUGUACGGUGCUGGAGUCCUUCAAGAUCAUGGACUAUUCCCUGCUCCUCGGCGUCCACAACCUGGACAUUGCGCUCAGGGAGAAGCAGAGCGAGCAACGGAAACCGCUGAGAGCUCCGCUGGCCGAGGACUCCGACGUGGAUGGGGACGAUCCGCUGGACGCCCUGGAUGGCGACGGCAAGGAUCGCGAUGCGGCCACGGGCAUAAGUAGAAACAAUGCGGCAUACAGGUCCGUCAAUCGUCAGCGUUUAGUGGCCCACUCCACGGCCAUGGAGAGCAUUCAGGCGGAGAGUGAACCCAUCGACGAUGAGGAGGAUGUGCCACCUGGGGGUAUUCCAGCGAGGAGUGAGAAAGGCGAGCGCCUGUUGCUCUACAUUGGAAUCAUCGACAUUCUGCAAUCCUACAGGCUGAAAAAGAAACUGGAGCACACUUUCAAAAGCAUCAUACACGAUGGGGAAACCGUAUCGGUCUGCCGGCCCUCGUUCUAUGCUCAAAGAUUCCAAAACUUUAUGGCCAAGACCGUGUUCCGCAAGAUACCCUCCCGUAAGUGGGGUGGGCGUGGAAGUCGGGCUAAGUACUCGUACUUGGAUCUCCCAGAGAUCAAAGGGAAUCACAGAAAAUUUCGUACCUUGGUAACCAGCUACAUAGCGCUUAAGCAUUCGCCAUCGAAGAGAAAAAGCCUUUCCAAGGCCAUUCAGCGCUCCAUCGACAGCGACAACGAGGUGGCCACGAGGCCGGUUCACGCCUCGCACUCGCACAGUAGUGGCAAGAUUCACCAGCCAGCAAAGCCGCCCACCACCGAGCCAACGCCAGCGGGAGCGGCAGGUGGAGCCGUAGGAGGAGCAGCUGCCCUUGGUCCAGCUAGCGGCAGUGCCACCAGCGAGCGGGCACCUCCGCCCGUCAAGCAGCGGACUCCGGCGGCCAGCAACCUGAAGACACGGGUGCCACCGCCAGUGCCACCGCGUGGUUCGCCGCGGCGCAAGGAUGCCCAUGAUCGGACGACACCAGGCACAACGCCCUCAUGCAGCUCGACUCCUCCCCCCGCCUUUGACGACAUCUCCGAGGACAGCUCGAACAAGAACAGCACCUCGUCGAUGGGGCGCCGGUCCCAUCAUCAUCACCACCAUCACCAGCAGUCGCAGCAGCAUCAGCAUCAGCAAUCUUACUACCUGGAUCGCAAGAUGAACAUUGGACCCGCCUAUCGAGGUUCCUACAAGGAGGACAUCGUGAGCGUCUCCGAGGUUCAUCUGGAUACACUGCUGGCGGUGGACACCUCGUCGAGCAGCCAGUACGGGUCCCGCGGCGGAUUGGCCUGGACACCGCCCGCUUCAGGUGAGGGCUCCACUCCCACAUGGACAGAGGGCACACCCAGUUUUACGGACUCCAGUUCGAGUGGUGAUCUCGACAACUUCUCGCCCAUAAACUCAUCUAAAAUCGAUCGACACAAGCCGACGGUGGAAGAUGCCAUCAACUCUCUGUCCGCGGGAAUGGUAAAUAUCGGAGGUGGCCAACUCUAGAUACGAUCCCAAGCACACACAGAAACCUCCUGAUCCGCAGCACCCACGACACCUCCUGCUCAGAGAUAACAUACUCAUGCCCCCCAGAGAUAGUCGCACACGCCCAUAUCAACUAACAUAGCAUGUGAUGACGGAACACAAGACACACCAACCCAUAUGUAUCACGAUGUGGACAGAGUCCGAGCAAAAUAUGCCUCAUACUCUUACAUACUGAUUAUGCUUGCGUGUUCAGGCGCUAUUGUAUAGCUAGGAUAUAAUCAAAAGGCGCCCCACGUAGAAAAGAUUCCCAUGACAUGACCUCGCCCACGCCCUCAACCACGACCACACCCACACCUGCCCAUCCCUUCCAGCGGACAUCGGGUGAAAUCUAUCCAGCAAAUACAUAACUCAACACUGCAAAUGAUAUUAUACACGAAAGCAUACUCCCCAUAUACAGAACUACAGAAGCAUAAAGCAAAUAAAUGUCAAAUCAAAUAUAUAUGUAUGAGUAAAGUGCGCAGGAUGGCAUCCAGUUGGAGAUCCGAGAUCCGAAAUCCGCAAUCCCGUUCCCCUAUACAUUUAGUGUACGGUGUAAAGAGUUCGUUAUGCGUUCGAUCAGAUAAUAUGAAAAUAUACAAUACACUGAAAUUAUACAAGUAUAAACAAACGUUUUUGCGAUACUUUCGAUCUCCGAUAUAUCCACAUAAGUACGUAUUAUGUAUACCUAUGUAUAAUCAGCAAUCGCGAUAUUACAAUAUUAUUGUAAAAUAUUUCAAUUUACAAGCCAGACAAACAAAG